UUUAAAAUGAUAUUUCAGAGGAAUCUUUGUUAAACAUCCUCAACCUAUUUAGUAUACAAGUGAAUAAACUUUUGUUUGACAGCUUUUUAAUAUUAACUGAAAUGGUCAGUCUAUGUUGGACAUAUUUGAUAUGAUAAGAAAAUAAUAAGAGGCGGGGCCAAGAGGGGGAGGCGGGGCUUAUCAAAUAGAAAGCAGUGCUCUCAAGUGACUGCCGCCGCCACAGAAGCCAUCGUCGCAGUAAGUGUCAAAAAGAGGUCCAGAAAGUCGAAACCCUGCCACAGGUGCUUCUGAUCAAUCGACAGCUACACGACGAGCUUUACCAAACUAAAAACUAAAACCAAGACCGGGAUUUGACACCUCUGGCGCAACCUGGGUUCAAACACUGCGCGGGCAGGCUGGCUAUUUCUCGACUGGCCGCGUUGUCUGGAAAAGCCUGGCAGAAGGCACCGACAGCACGCUGUGGGGAAUGCCUGGUAAAGGAACGAUGCUCUCCAUCCAUAUUCGGGACAUUCUUCUCCAUCAAAUUGGUGCUUGUCCAGGACAGACACUGUUCACAACAACAAAAAGUAGCUUAAUGGCGUAAAAGUAGCACAGGCAGUACAGUGUCUAAGUCUUCCGCCAUUCCAAGGUUCUUGUGUCUUAACCGCAAUGACAAGAAUGUUUUAACAACCUCCUUCUGCGAAACUCAAAAGUACAUCGCAAUUGUGGUUAUCAGUUUGGAAUGCUGAAUUAAGAGCAUUACCUAAUCAUUUUGCAAAAGCAAAACAGUCUCCUGUUAGCUGUGAGCGCCACCAUGCGGGCCGCCGAAAAGGACUGCAUAGGUCAGCGAUUUCCAAACUACGGCUCGGCCAUUUGCGGCCCACGGCAUAUGCUAAAAAUUCCAUUUGUUAUUGAGCGCAAAGCAGUGUUAGAAGUGUGGCUGUUAAAAUAGUGGGGGGUCAUGAAUUGGAAAUUUCCAGCGGUACUGAACAGUCAUAACGUGAUCAUUUGUUUUAAAAUGAUUUGAAUGAAGUGUGUGUAUGAGUGUGCUCUUUCCAGUAAGCCAGCAAAUGUCAUCAUGCAUGAGGUCAUGCAUAUAUAUGUAAAAUAAAAUAAUUUAAAAAAGAGCUAUCUGGGCUUUACACACCUACAAAUGCAUAUUUGCAUGAGGUGUGACUUAUGAUUAAUUGCCUGGUUUGGCAAUAAUGAAAUACA